rnacentral:lncRNA from 1 species
UAAAUCUUUUAAAAAAAUUUUGUGGUUGGGGGUGUGUGAUGGUUUGUAUAUGUGCUUAGCACAGUGAGUAGCACUAUAGAAGGUGUGGCCCUGUUGGAGUAGGUGUGUCACUGUCACUGUGGGUGUGGGCUUUAAGACCCUCACCCUAGCUGCCUGGAAGCCAGGAUCCUGCUAGCAGCCUUCAGAUGAAGAUGUCGAACCCUCAACUCCUCUGUACCAUGCCUACCUGGAUGCUGCCUUGUUCCUGCCUUGAUGAUAGUGGACUGAACCUCUGAACCUGUAAGCCAGCCCCAAUUGAAUGUUGUCCUCAUAAGAGUUGCCUUGGUCAUGGUGUCUGUUCACAGCAGUAAAACCCUAAGACAGAGGGUCGUCCCAGUAUGAGGAAAGGGUUGGGGCAUUAGGAGGGCUGAGAAGCACCUUCUACACGAUGAGGUCAUGAAAGGAGAAAUGUGAUCUUUUAAUUUAAUUGUAUUUAUUAUUCGCAUGUGUAUUCAUUUAAGUGUAUUGGGCAUGUGCACCUGUGUGGAGGUCAGAGAUGAACUCACAGGAACCAGUUUCCACCUCCUAUACAGUAUGGCCCCAGAGACUGAAUUCGGGUCUUGGCAGCAAGUGUUUUUUACCCAAUGGGCCAUCUCACUAGCCCAGAAAUGGCUCCUCUUAAAGCCAACGAAUGAUGACCCACCUCCGUUUCAUCUCUUUUCCACUGUUGCUGUUGGGCUGAAGUAUUUUCCAUUGUGACAUGUCCAGGACUGAGCGAUGAGCAGAUUAUGGGAGGGGAGGCACCCAGCUCUGUCUGCUAUUGUCUAAGGUGCUCAAUUGGGAUCAGGGUUUACCUAAGUGGACGCUGCAUAGCCCAGAAUUCGUCUACCCUGGACCUCAUGCUCUUGUGUCUAUUCUUGUACCCUUAUGUCAGGGGGAAAAAAAAAAUCUCAAAUGCCCUCUACCCAUCAGACUCUCUGUCCUAAAUAGACAAAGCCCCGUCCAUUCCAUUAAAUCACAAAAACAGCUCACAGAUGUCGUUAAGGUUACUAAUCAGUUAAAUUAGAUUUAAUCAAAAGGAGGUUAUCUGUGUGGGUCUAAUCCAAUCUCGAGUACAUUAAAAGCAAAAUUUUAUUGACAGUUCGCAAAAGGGCGAGUCAGAGGGACUAAUGGGGAGAAGGAAGGCUGGAUGUACCCUGCCUAGCCUGAAGAUGGAGGGCGGACGGGCAUACAGUCCCCAGAGCAGCCCUGGCUGACCCCACUCUGACAGCUGCUAGGUAACAGGUCUAGUAGCGGCACAGAACUAAACAUUGCUAACAAUCUGAGAGAGCGCAGGAAGUGAGCCUGUCUCCAGGCCCUUGGCUGGCCAGCAGCAUUUUGAUGGCUCGCUGUAAGACCCAGAACACUGGCUCCCGUAGAGACUACAGUAGAGACUGCUGGGAUUUCCGGACAGACGGAUGUGUAGGAAGGACUGUGGCCUCAUAUCAGGGGUUGUUUAAACAGCCAGUGGUGGUCAUUUGUUAUGCAGCCGUAGAAAACCAAACCAAACCAAACCUCCAGCUUCCCGAGAGACACUUCUGAGGUAGAUCACACAGAAACAUAGUUGCUAGCUUCCAGAAUCUUCACAAUAGCCUAUUCUUGAAGAGAAAAGUAAUGAGUGGGGGCAGGGGGGGGGAUGAUAACUGAUAAAAAUCUCUUCUGAGGUGUUCUUAGAAGAGAGAGGGGCUAUAGGUUGCAGAGAAGAGGGUGGAGUCUAAGCUAAAUUUUGUGGCUUCAAUGACAAUAUUACCUCUAACAUUUAGGCGCCUCCGGAAUCUUAGCGACGCUCUAUGGAGGGAUGGGUUUGCAUAUGAGAGCAAUUAUCUUCUCUUUUUUAAACACACCAGAAUCAAUGGGGGAAAAAAAAAUAGAGGACUAAAAAUCUACUUAAGGAAUAGAAAUAGAACUAACUG